rnacentral:rRNA from 1 species
UACGAAGGGAGCUAGCGUUGUUCGGGAUCACUGGGCGUAAAGCGCACGUAGGCGGAUUUGCCAGUCAGGGGUGAAAUCCCGGGGCUCAACCUCGGAACUGCCUUUGAUACAGCAAGUCUUGAGUUCGAGAGAGGUGGGUGGAAUUCCUAGUGUAGAGGUGAAAUUCGUAGAUAUUAGGAAGAACACCGGUGGCGAAGGCGGCCCACUGGCUCGACACUGACGCUGAGGUGCGAAAGCGUGGGGAGCAAACAGG